UUACUGUGUUCCCGAAAAACAAUACACUGAUCUAUGUUUAAAGUCCAAUUCUAUAUUAUUUACAGAAUAUUUCCCCACGUCUGGCUGGCUUGAUAUAGUCUGUCCGCCCAGCCAUUGUGGGGCUAACACGCUAUUGUCGCUUGUCUACCCCCAAUGCGACCUAUUUUUUAGAUGCAAUAUCUUAUGCUCCUGAGGAAGCGCUAAGCGCGUAACAUGUAGAGCAAGCUCUUCACCAAAUCUUUGGAAUACUACACUGGAUAUGCAACUCAACAUUGUACCUGUAACUGUGCUUUCUAAAUGAAGCCUAUAUAUGAUAUGAUUGUAUAGUGUUGUAAUCACAGUUGUGGUAUUAGUUGCUGACCUAAUUUCGUUAAUUUCUUUGAUUUUAUGUCAUUCCACUUUUAUGAUAUUUCAUACUAAAUAAACUUUUAGUUUUCUA